ACGGGUGAGGAAUACAUGGGAAUCUGCCCAAUCGUGGGGGAUAACGUAGGGAAACUUACGCUAAUACCGCAUACGACCUUAGGGUGAAAGCGGCGGACCGCAAGGCGUCGCGCGAUUGGAUGAGCCCAUGUCGGAUUAGCUAGUUGGCGGGGUAAAGGCCCACCAAGGCGACGAUCCGUAGCUGGUCUGAGAGGAUGAUCAGCCACACUGGAACUGAGACACGGUCCAGACUCCUACGGGAGGCAGCAGUGGGGAAUAUUGGACAAUGGGCGCAAGCCUGAUCCAGCCAUGCCGCGUGAGUGAAGAAGGCCUUCGGGUUGUAAAGCUCUUUUGUCCGGAAAGAAAAGCUUUCGGUUAAUACCCGGAAGUCCUGACGGUACCGGAAGAAUAAGCACCGGCUAACUUCGUGCCAGCAGCCGCGGUAAUACGAAGGGUGCAAGCGUUACUCGGAAUUACUGGGCGUAAAGCGUGCGUAGGUGGUUUGUUAAGUCUGAUGUGAAAGCCCUGGGCUCAACCUGGGAAUUGCACUGGAUACUGGCAGGCUAGAGUGCGGUAGAGGAUGGCGGAAUUCCCGGUGUAGC
rnacentral:rRNA from 2 species